rnacentral:rRNA from 2 species
UGGCGGCAGUAGCGCGGUGGUCCCACCUGACCCCAUGCCGAACUCAGAAGUGAAACGCCGUAGCGCCGAUGGUAGUGUGGGGUUUCCCCAUGCGAGAGUAGGGAACUGCCAGGCA